GAAUAACAUUAUUUACUGAGUCUAUUUACAACACAGAAUGGGAAAAAGACAGACAUGGAUGGUGUGGGUUAAUAUCCUUAGGAUGGAGGCAAGCAGCAUGAAAGGAAGAGCACUUUUUUCUCUCUGCUUGUGUUGUGGUUAGGACCAGAGUUGAGGCUGGACAAGGUAGGGUGGGGUCAGUAGAAAGAAAUCACCUGGAACCACCCCAUGCUGGCUUUAUUGGAAGGACACAGGGUCUCAGCAAGAUGCCAACUGCAGCACAUGAAGUAAUGGAUAGAGGACCUCACCUUUUAACUGCCUGGUUACCAUGGACCAAUGACAUUCUUGGUGGCAUCUGCACCCUUUCCAAAAUAUGCGAAUCUCCCACCUUAUGGGGCAGAACCUUCAUCUUAUCAUAGAAGAUGAAAACACUAAGGACUCACUUUCCAGCCUCCCUUGCAACCAGGGUAUGGCUGUGACCCAGGUUUUGCCAACUGAACACACCUGUAAAAGCCUUAAAUUCCCUCUUUAUGUAGAUGCAAAAAUUCCAUGAUGUAUUCUAUUUCCUAUUAUCUAUACUUUCUGAUAUUUUAUAGUAGGAACCAGAAAAAAUGAGGAGAAACAAGGGAAGGAAGAAAGGGGAAAAAAAGAGUCAGUGGACUCUUUUAAAUGGGAGAUUUUCGACCAGAUUUUUGCAGUAUAGUUAUAAAAGAUGUUAUCACUGGAGGAGACUGAGUGAAGGAUAAAUGGGUCUUCUCUCUACUACUUUUGCAACUUCUUGUGAAUCUAUAAUUAUUUCAAAAUAGAAAGUUACAAGAAGAAAAGGAUUCCUGGCUGCUGUGUAGAAAACAGAUGUGAGGCAGGACAGAGGUAGGAAAGCAGAAUUGGAAGUAGAGAGUGAACAGGAUGUGAAAUAACAGGAGUCAGCUGAGUGAGGUAAGGUAUGUCAAAGAAGUCGUUUUGGGGACAUAACUGUUGUAUUAGAUCUAAAGAAGAUUUGAUUGAUAUCAAAGAGUAGAAACGAUAUUCUGGGUAAAGGAGAAAGAAAAAAAAUAGUAGAAAUUGUGACGUGGUUCACCCUCUUGUUUUCUGCAGGAUCAUACUUAAUCUAUGCUAGCCAAAAUCAUUUCUUUUUUUCUUUUUUAAAAAAGGCAUCCAAAGGAGGAUAAUUAAGACUCCUCAAUUUUAAAAGUUUCAGGACCCACAGAUAUUUGGUUGUCAACAAGAUGAUUUAUGUUUUUCCUAAAGUUCUAAUAUCUAUUGAGAAGUUUUAUCCUCCUUACUCAAAUAUACACCUUUAAAAUUGUCUAUAGUGAUAUCUUCUGUUUAUUUAUGUCCAUUCUUCAAAUUAUACUUUAAUCUGGGUGGGGCAUUUCAUUAAGUGCUAUUUUAUAGCUUACUGUGAAAUGUCAAUCAUUUAUUCAUUAAGCAGUAUAGAUAUGUUGGUAUGAAUAUAUUAAUUCAUAAAAGAAUAACCUAAGUUUAUUGAUACAUUGUUGACAAAUGACUUUAGUACCAUACAUUCUCAGGUUUAGUAAUCACAUAAGUAGGGAUAGAAUAAGAAAAAUAUUGACAGGUCCUAUACACUUACGAAAAGCAAGGAGCUAAAAUACAAACCUGCUCCCAAUAUGAAAGAAAACCACAGUCCUCAAUUCCCCUUUUAACAGUGUUCAUGCUUUUAGAGUUGAGCCUAAUCAAGUUCUAAUGUCUUUUUAACCCACACCUCCCUUCACAUUCUCUCCAUAUGUAAGAUUGGGGUUUCACUGAGUCCAAAGGGACUUGAGAAGCUAGGGAAUGAAAGAACUGCAGUGGGUUAGUACAUUUUCCCUAAAGUUCCAACAUGUGGGUCACACUUUGAAAUUUCAACUGGAAUAAUGUUGAGGAAGAGUUGAUAAAUAAUACGUAUUGAACAAAUGUUACUUUGUUGAGGAACUAUUGUCAUUAUGAUGAUGUAACUUUUCCUCUCUGUAAGAGGAAAUAAAAAAGAACUGUUUAAUUUGUAUGGGGAGAGAUUUAGCUCUUAAUGGAGAAAAUCCUGACACUGAAACAAAGAAGUAAUAGAUAUAACAUUAGAGAUGAUUUGCUAGGCUUUGUCAGUGAAGGUUAUAGUAGGUUGGGAGUAAGGGGGAAAGACUGGAAAUUCUUGCUUGUAUCUACUUAUUAAUUCGGUUCUUUCCAAUCUCUUUGAUGUUAAUUGCAUUAAUCAGAAAAUUAAAUCACAUUGACUAUGGCUACCC
rnacentral:lncRNA from 1 species